UACGUAGGGCGCAAGCGUUGUCCGGAAUUAUUGGGCGUAAAGAGCUCGUAGGCGGUCUGUUACGUCCGCUGUGAAAACCCAGGGCUUAACCCUGGGCUUGCAGUGGAUACGGGUAGACUAGAGGCAGGUAGGGGAGAAUGGAAUUCCCGGUGUAGCGGUGAAAUGCGCAGAUAUCGGGAGGAACACCGGUGGCGAAGGCGGUUCUCUGGGCCUGUACUGACGCUGAGGAGCGAAAGCGUGGGGAGCAAACAGG
rnacentral:rRNA from 1 species